GGCUUGGUGGUUCAGUAGUAGAAUUCUUGCCCUCCAUGUGGGAUACCCGGGUUCAGUUCCUGGUCAAUCCA
rnacentral:tRNA from 1 species